UACGGAGGGUGCAAGCGUUAUCCGGAUUCACUGGGUUUAAAGGGUGCGUAGGCGGGCAGGUAAGUCAGUGGUGAAAUCUUCGAGCUUAACUCGGAAACUGCCGUUGAUACUAUCUGUCUUGAAUACCGUGGAGGUGAGCGGAAUAUGUCAUGUAGCGGUGAAAUGCUUAGAUAUGACAUAGAACACCGAUUGCGAAGGCAGCUCACUACACGAAUAUUGACUCUGAGGCACGAAAGCGUGGGGAUCAAACAGG
rnacentral:rRNA from 1 species